GCUGAAGAGUUGCCACAUGGUGUCUCUAUCCCAUCCGCAUUGUUAAAUGUGCCCACAUGACUGACUAGAUAAAUCACAGUAU
rnacentral:lncRNA from 1 species